rnacentral:misc_RNA from 1 species
AUUUUUUUUUUUUUUAUUAAAAAAGAUGCAACAAAACAAUAAAAUUAUUUUGUUCAUUGUGGAGAAAUUUUCUGAUGCACUGUUAGAGAAGGAUUAUUCAAACAUAUAUCUCAUAUUUGUAGCCAGAAUUUGUAGGGCUUAAAUUUAUUUUUCUUUAAUAUAUCUUCUGAUGUUUGCUCAUAUCAGGCCAGGACAUAAACGACACACUAUUGUAUUCAAACUUUUGUUGGUAAUAGCCCUAUGCCUCGAAAGCUUAUGUUUUUAUUUGAGAACUUGUUUGUUUGUU